GGCUCAUUUGGGCUGAAACCCUAAUAUUAGAAGAAAAUAUGUAAAAUUAUAUAAAUAAUGAAUGAUCAUGUUAUACAUCAACUUAAAGCAUAAUAGAACUUUGAUAGCUCUCUGUUAUCUAUUAAAUCACCAUAUAAACAUUUAUAAGAGCAAAAUGUGAUGAGUAAAAUUGCUUAUGAAUAUAACUUUUAUAUAAAGAUUGCCAUUAUAUAAUGU
rnacentral:lncRNA from 1 species